UACGUAGGAUGCGAGCGUUGUCCGGAAUUAUUGGGCGUAAAGCGAACGUAGGCGGUUUCUUAAGAUUGGUCUUAAAGACCGGGGCUCAACCCCGGGAAUGGAUCGAUAACUGGGAGACUAGAGGACGUCAGAGGAAAGUGGAAUUCCGAGUGUAGCGGUGAAAUGCGUAGAUAUUCGGAGGAACACCAGUGGCGAAAGCGACUUUCUGGGACGUUCCUGACGCUGAGGUUCGAAAGCUCGGGGAGCAAACAGG
rnacentral:rRNA from 1 species